rnacentral:sRNA from 1 species
AAUACUGCAUUACUUACUGCAGCUAGGCAGCUGCUUUUAUCAAAGCUGUGAAUACAAACAGCAGCCUGUUAGUAACUGAAUAUAUCGUCAUCAGCUGCAUCAGCAUUCUUUUGUUUACACGUAACAUGCAGUUUUACAGAAAUCGUAGUUAAUGCUAGAGAAGAGAGAAGAGAGAUAUAAGAGAAACGAAAGAAAGGGAGAGGGAGAGAGAGAUAGAGAGAGAGAGCGAGAGAGUGUGUGACAGAUUGAGAGCAGUAUGGCUUCCGUCUGCUUGGUUAGCUUCAAUAUUAUGUACUUCAUCUAUGUUGCGCGUGUUGUGUGAGAGAGAAUUCGUGAGCGCCACACUUGACAGCUGUUGUGCCCUACACGUCAACAAGCAAGGCGUUCGAGUGAUGCGCAUAAAUGAAGCCAUAGAUCGUAAAUUUCGCUAUUAUAAAAUAAGUGUUCUGUGUUACGUGGGCCAAAAAUAGUAUUUUGCCAUAUCUAUUAUGGCCCCAUGUGAAAAUCAGCAACUACGUUAUCAAUGAGCAGUAUUACAAAACAAGAAAAGGAAAUGAUUUAUUAUCAGAGCACCUACUUAGAAGCGUUUAUACACGGGAAUGUUUUGGAUGGGUUAUAUAGCUCAUAAUCAGUGUAUACACAUGUAUAUGGCAAGGAAAAUAUACAUUUGGACACAUUUCAUUAUUUUGAUUCGUUUUUACUUUGUAAGGCUUCGCAAUUACAUUUGAUUAGUUUCAAUGCACCGUAAACCCCCUUCUACUAGCCCUACUCUAUCACGCACAACAUAUAUAUAAAUCUAAUAUAUAUGUUAGACCUUAAUUGAACACAUCUUAGCAACAGCUGCCUAUCAAUAU